rnacentral:rRNA from 1 species
UACGUAGGGGGCGAGCGUUGUCCGAAGUUACUGGGCGUAAAGCGCGCGUAGGCGGCUCUUUAAGUCUGAGGUGAAAGGUUCAGCGCUCAACGUGAACAGUGCCUUGGAUACUGGGGAGCUUGAGUUCGGGAGAGGGUAGUGGAAUUCCUGGUGUAGCGGUGAAAUGCGUAGAUAUCAGGAAGAACACCCGUGGCGAAGGCGGCUCUCUGGUACGUGACUGACGCUGAGACGCGAAAGCGUGGGGAGCAAACGGG